GUUAUGGCUGCUUGGCAUUUCACAUUGCGCUUCUAAGACAAACUUCCUUUGAAGUAAAACGCACAAACAUUUCGAGCCGAUGUCGACACAUCGUGGUCGUCGCCUACAAAAAAGUCGUCAUGUUCUGCAAGAACGUCGUCAAUAUUCUAAAAUUAUAAAAUUGUCCUCAAUUUGAUGCUACACUUGUGGGUUCCACAGAGUAUUAAAAA